rnacentral:lncRNA from 1 species
CGGGGCCGGCGACGGGUCUCCUGCGGACCGGGCCGGUCCAGCAGGCAGCGGCGGCGCGAGGAGGGGGUCUAGGAGGCCACGGGAGAAGUCCGGUCCGGGGUAGGUGGCGGCGGCCAAGGUCGGGGACGGGUUUGUGGCCGGCAGCGGCGGCCAGAGGAGGAUGAGGCGUUUCCGGCCGGGCGCGGGUGAAACCAACCGUUUUUAUCAGAGUACUGGUAUCGUUGAAAUCGGAGAUUGGAGAUCUAGCGUUUUGGGAGAAGGUAUUCGGUUGGUUGAUCCGUAAAGAUUUUUCGUUCCGAAAAUCUUCGAUAUCUAUUCGGAUCGUUUUUUCCGCUAAAAAUCGAAAAGUGGCGGUUAUUUGUCAGAUCGGGCCGAUAUACGGUAUCUCCUAGACUUGCUCUAAGAUGGACGGAAAGUUGCGAUCUACUCGGUUCGAACUAGUUUCUUAACGAGUUUGAGCCAUCAAGGACAAGAAUAGAACAACAUUGAGCUAUUAUCUGCUGUGGAAGCACCUUGCAUAAAUGAUACUACCUUCUUGGAGAAACAAUAUAUGACCCCCUAAGAGAAGAGUUUGGAAAGUUGGGAAAAUUCACAUGCGUUUUUUCAAGAAAGCUGGGAGAGCACAGUUUUUCGGACAAGUUCAUACUGGAACUAGCUGAAAAGACAAGAACUUGUAUGUAGGUUGUUACAAAUCAUGCAACACAAAAUUCAUCAAAAUUAAUCCCUAUUAAAUUUAUUUCUCAGUCGACUUAAAAAUAUUUAUUUCUAUUCUAA